rnacentral:snRNA from 1 species
UCGGCUGUCAGCGGACUGCUCGAGCUGCUU